GGUAGAACAAUAUUUACAAUAUAAAAAUAAUCUGUAGCAUGAAAGACAUGACUAUGAAUAGAUGGCACUAUAACAAUAACAAGGUCUGCAUUGAGGGGACUAUAACAAUUAUCAAGGUCUGCAUUGAGGGGACUAUAACAAUUAUCAAGGUCUGCAUUGAGGGGACUAUAACAAUUAUCAAGGUCUGCAUUGAGGGGACUAUAACAAUAACAAGGUUUGCAUUGAGGGGACUCAUUUUUUUAUUCUUUAAUUUUUAACAUCAUUUUCCUUGUUAUUUUUGAUUCAUUUUUCAUGGAAUUUUAUCAAAGUACUAGAAUAGUUUAAGAUUUGUCUUUCUUGUUUUAUAUCUCAACACCCUUUGUGUCUGUAUUUAUAAAACGUUUCCCCAUUUUUCUCUAUUUUUUAUUUCAAAACUUUUCUCUAUUUUUUUCAAAACUUUUCUCUGCUCAUUAUUGUCUAUUUUUUUUAUACUUUUCGAUUUCUCUAUUCUAUAUUUUACCACUAAUAAGUCUCUCCUCAGUAAACUUUAACAAUUCUCUCAAUAAAACAUAGUAUAUACAUAUAUAAUUUACAUUUAAAAGACUCACAUGAAAAUGUAUUUUUAUUUUGGGGGCAUACCAUCUGUUUCAUUGAAUACUUUAAAAUAAUGUAUACAUAAAUUGCAAAUAUAAUACAUCAACAAAACAAGGCCACAUUGAAAUAAAAAAAAAAUGGCUUCUCAUAACUCAGAGCUAAAACUACAUUAACACACACAUAGUAGUCUCAGCUCAAUAAAAAAACCAAGUGUAUGGAUUUCUAAAUAUUAAGUAUUGCUGAUUAUUAUUUAUUAGUGGUCCAGGAAUUUGAUUUAUUAAACAUCAAAGAAAGGUAUCUGCACAAUUCUGAUCCUUAGAUUAGAAAUAAAAAGAAGAUCUAGAAAAUGUAGACGUCACUCCGAAAAUUGAAAUUAAAUAUUAUGUAUAGAUAUAAUGUUUGCCAUUGUCUAUUUGUUUAUUUUUUAAGUGGAGGUUUAUGGUGAUGUGUUUAUUUUUUAAGGAUGAAGGUUAUGGCGAUGUGUUUAUUUUUUAAGUGGAGGUUUAUUGUAUUUUUAAGUGGAGGUUUAUGGCGAUGUGUUUAUUUUUAAGUGGAGGUUUUGGCGAGUGUGUUUAUUUUUUAAGUGGAGGUUUUGGCGAUGUGUUUAUUUUUAAGUGAAGGUUUAGGGUGAUGUGUUUAUUUUUAAGUGGAGAUGUAUGGCGAUGUGUUUAUUUUUUAAGUGGAGGUUUAUGCGAUGUGUUUAUUUUUUAAGUGAGGUUUAUUGCGAUUGUUUUAAGUGGAGGUUUUAUGGCGAUGGAGAGUUUAUGGCGAUGUGUUUAUUUUUAAGUGGAGGUUUAUGCGAUGUGUUUUUUUUAGUGGCGGUUUAUGGCGAUGUGUUAAGUGGAUGGCGUAGUUUAUUUUUAAGUGGAGGUUUAUAUGUGUUUAUUUUUUUUAAGUGGCGAUGUGUUUAUUUUUUAAGUGGAGGUUUAUGGCGAUGUGUUUAUUUUUUAAGUGGAGGUUUAUGGCGAUGUGUUUAUUUUUUAAGUGGAGGUUUAUGGCGAUGUGUAGUUUUAAUGGCGUUUAUGUGUUUAUUUUUAAGUGGAGGUUUAUGGCGAUUUGUUUAUUUUUAAGUGGAGGUUAUGGGAGGUGGAGGUUUAUAGCGAUGUGUUUAUUUUUUUUAGUGGAGGUUUAUGGGAUAAGUGUUUGGCGAUUAUUUUAUGGAGGUGGAUUGUGUUUAUUUUUAAGUUUCAUGGCGAUGUGUUUAUUUUAAAGUUGGAGUUUAUGGCGAUGUGUUUAUUUUUUA
rnacentral:lncRNA from 1 species